rnacentral:rRNA from 1 species
UACGGGCGGAGCAAGCGUUGUUCGGAUUUAUUGGGUGUAAAGGGUGCGCAGGCGGUCGACUAAGUCGGAAGUGAAAGGUUCACGGCUCAACCGGGACACUGCUUCCGAUACUGGCCGACUUGAGUACGGAAGGGGAGCGUGGAAUUCCUGGUGUAGCGGUGAAAUGCGUAGAUAUCAGGAGGAACACCUGUGGCGAAGGCGACGCUCUGGUCCGUAACUGACGCUCAUGCACGAAAGCCAGGGGAGCGAACGGG